rnacentral:rRNA from 1 species
CCUACGGGGGGCAGCAGUCGAGAAUCAUUCACAAUGGGGGAAACCCUGAUGGGGCGACGCCGCGUGGGUGAAGAAGUAGUGCGGUAUGUAAAGCUCUAUCAGUAGGGAAGAAGAAAGACGGUACCUGACUAAGAAGCCCCGGCUAACUACGUGCCAGCAGCCGCGGUAAUACGGAGGGGGCAAGCGUUAUCCGGAUUUACUGGGUGUAAAGGGAGCGUAGACGGCUGUGCAAGUCUGAAGUGAAAGCCCGUGGCUCAACCGCGGAACUGCUUUGGAAACUGGAUAGCUUGAGUACUGGAGAGGCCGGCGGACUUCCUCGUGUAGCGGUGCACUGCGUAGAUAUUCGGAGGAACCCCAGUGGCGAAGGCGGCCUGCUGGACAGCAACUGACGUUGCGGCUCGACAGCGUGGGGCGCAAACAGGAUUAGCUACCCCAGUAGUC